AGCUUGACACUGAACAUUGAGCCUUGAUGUGUAGGAUAGGUGGGAGGCUUUGAAGCGUGGACGCCAGUCUGCAUGGAGCCGACCUUGAAAUACCACCCUUUAAUGUUUGAUGUUCUAACGUGGACCCGUGAUCCGGGUUGCGGACAGUGUCUGGUGGGUAGUUUGACUGGGGCGGUCUCCUCCUAAAGAGUAACGGAGGAGCACGAAGGUUGGCUAAUCCUGGUCGGACAUCAGGAGGUUAGUGCAAUGGCAUAAGCCAGCUUGACUGCGAGCGUGACGGCGCGAGCAGGUGCGAAAGCAGGUCAUAGUGAUCCGGUGGUUCUGAAUGGAAGGGCCAUCGCUCAACGGAUAAAAGGUACUCCGGGGAUAACAGGCUGAUACCGCCCAAGAGUUCAUAUCGACGGCGGUGUUUGGCACCUCGAUGUCGGCUCAUCACAUCCUGGGGCUGAAGUAGGUCCCAAGGGUAUGGCUGUUCGCCAUUUAAAGUGGUACGCGAGCUGGGUUUAGAACGUCGUG
rnacentral:rRNA from 1 species